UGCCUUACUUUAGCCCUGCCAUAGAGGCUAGCAGGAGGUCGGAGCCCAUGAUGCUGUGUGUUGAAACCAAACCCAGUCAGUGGAACAGCAGCUCUGUUGAUGUGAGACCUGCGCAGGAAUUGGACUAAAGAAAGAUUCUGACUGCCAUAAUCUAACAUACAACAGAAAUUCUCCUGCAAGCACCAUCAUGCCCCAAAGAAGGCAGUCUCCUUCGUAAAAGCUGGAGAGAAACCCCGAGCAUGCCAACAUAUAACAGGCCUCCUCCACACGGCAAAUGACUGGCAGCUGCAGGCCGACCUGGGAAAGCAGCUAAGGUUUCCCCAACAUGUGGCAGCAACAACUCUCCGUCCAGACGUGGUGAUAACAUCUGAGGCUUCAAAACACCUCAUCAUUCUGGAACUAACAGUUCCCUGGGAAGAGCGUCUUGAGGAGGCCAAUGAGAGGAAAAGAGCCAAGUACCAGGAGCUGGUGGUGGAGUGCAGGGAGAGAGGUUGGAGAACCUUCUACGAGUCCACAGAAGUCAGCUGUAGGGGUUUUGCAGGGCGCUCCCUCUGCAAAGUCCUGAGUCGCUUGGGCAUUGUAGGAGCAGCUAAGAAGAGGGCCAUUGCAUCCGCGAGUGAAGCCGCAGAGAAAGCUACACGUUGGCUUUGGAUUAAAAGGGGUGAUCCGUGGACUGCUACUGGGACGCAAGUCGGGGCUU